rnacentral:rRNA from 1 species
CUCCGGUUGAUCCUGCCGGACCCGACUGCUAUCAGAGUGGGACUAAGCCAUGCGAGUCAACAUAGCAAUAUGUGGCAUACGGCUCAGUAACACGUAGUCAACAUGCCCAGGGGACGUGGAUAACCUCGGGAAACUGAGGAUAAACCGCGAUAGGUCAUCACUUCUGGAAUGGGUAAUGACUUAAAUCUAUAUGGCCCCUGGAUUGGACUGCGGCCGAUCAGGCUGUUGGUGAGGUAAUGGCCCACCAAACCUGUAACCGGUACGGGCUCUGAGAGGAGGAGCCCGGAGAUGGGCACUGAGACAAGGGCCCAGGCCCUAUGGGGCGCAGCAGGCGCGAAACCUCUGCAAUAGGCGAAAGCUUGACAGGGUUACUCUGAGUGAUUUCCGUUAAGGAGAUCUUUUGGCACCUCUAAAAAUGGUGCAGAAUAAGGGGUGGGCAAGUCUGGUGUCAGCCGCCGCGGUAAUACCAGCACCCCGAGUGGUCGGGACGUUUAUUGGGCCUAAAGCAUCCGUAGCCGGUUCUACAAGUCUUCCGUUAAAUCCACCUGCUUAACAGAUGGGCUGCGGAAGAUACUAUAGAGCUAGGAGGCGGGAGAGGCAAGCGGUACUCGAUGGGUAGGGGUAAAAUCCGUUGAUCCAUUGAAGACCACCAGUGGCGAAGGCGGCUUGCCAGAACGCGCUCGACGGUGAGGGAUGAAAGCUGGGGGAGCAAACCGGAUUAGAUACCCGGGUAGUCCCAGCUGUAAACGAUGCAGACUCGGUGACGGGCUAGCCUUGUGCCAGCCCAGUGCCGCAGGGAAGCCGUUAAGUUUGCCGCCUGGGGAGUACGGUCGCAAGACUGAAACUUAAAGGAAUUGGCGGGGGAGCA